AGAGUUUGAUCCUGGCUCAGAAUCAACGCUAGCGGCGCGCUUAACACAUGCAAGUCGAACGAGAAAGGGGAGCAAUCCCUGAGUACAGUGGCGUACGGGUGAGUAACACGUGGAUGAUCUACCUUCUGGUGUGGAAUAACCAUGGGAAACCGUGGCUAAUACCGCAUAAGCUCGAGAGAGGAAAGCAGCAAUGCGCCGGAAGAGGAGUCCGCGGCCGAUUAGCUAGUUGGGAGGGUAAAAGCCUACCAAGGCAAAGAUCGGUAGCCGGCCUGAGAGGGCACACGGCCACACUGGCACUGAAACACGGGCCAGACUCCUACGGGAGGCAGCAGUGGGGAAUCUUGCACAAUGGGGGAAACCCUGAUGCAGCGACGCCGCGUGAGCGAUGAAGCCCUUCGGGGUGUAAAGCUCUUUCGGCAGGGAAGAUGAUGACGGUACCUGCAGAAGCAGCUGCGGCUAACUACGUGCCAGCAGCCGCGGUAAUACGUAGGCAGCGAGCGUUGUUCGGAGUUACUGGGCGUAAAGGGUGUGUAGGCGGUUGUUUAAGUUUGGUGUGAAAUCUCCCGGCUCAACCGGGAGGGUGCGCCGAAUACUGAAUGACUCGAGUGCGGGAGAGGAGAGUGGAAUUCCUGGUGUAGCGGUGAAAUGCGUAGAUAUCAGGAGGAACACCGGUGGUGUAGACGGCUCUCUGGACCGUAACUGACGCUGAGACACGAAAGCGUGGGUAGCAAACAGGAUUAGAUACCCCCGUAGUCC
rnacentral:rRNA from 1 species